CAACAGGGAUUGCCCCAGUAACGGCGAGUGAAGCGGCAACAGCUCAAAUUUGAAAUCUGGCCCCCCGGGCCCGAGUUGUAAUUUGUAGAGGAUGCUUUUGGUGAGGCGCCGCCCGAGUUCCCUGGAACGGGACGCCACAGAGGGUGAGAGCCCCGUCUGGUUGGCCGCCGAGCCUCUGUAAAGCUCCUUCGACGAGUCGAGUAGUUUGGGAAUGCUGCUCAAAAUGGGAGGUAUAUGUCUUCUAAAGCUAAAUACCGGCCAGAGACCGAUAGCGCACAAGUAGAGUGAUCGAAAGAUGAAAAGCACUUUGAAAAGAGGGUUAAAUAGUACGUGAAAUUGUUGAAAGGGAAGCACUUGUGACCAGACUUGGGCUUGGCGAAUCAUCCGGCGUUCUCGCCGGUGCACUUUGCCUCGUCCAGGCCAGCAUCAGUUCGUCCCGGGGGACAAAGGCUUUGGGAACGUGGCUCCUCCGGGAGUGUUAUAGCCCACUGCGUAAUACCCUGGGGUGGACUGAGGUUCGCGCAUCUGCAUGGAUGC
rnacentral:rRNA from 1 species